rnacentral:rRNA from 1 species
UACGUAGGGUGCAAGCGUUAAUCGGAAUUACUGGGCGUAAAGCGUGCGCAGGCGGCUUUGCAAGACAGAUGUGAAAUCCCCGGGCUUAACCUGGGAACUGCAUUUGUGACUGCAUGGCUGGAGUGCGGCAGAGGGGGAUGGAAUUCCGCGUGUAGCAGUGAAAUGCGUAGAUAUGCGGAGGAACACCGAUGGCGAAGGCAAUCCC